AGUCUCGAGGUGUUAGUACACACUGAAUUGCAAAUUCGGAGAAGCAGAUUCCAACUCUGCCGAGACUU
rnacentral:tRNA from 1 species